rnacentral:rRNA from 1 species
CCUACGGCAGCAGUGGGGGAUAUUGCACAAUGGGGGGAACCCUGAUGCAGCGACGCCGCGUGGGUGAAGAAGCGCCUCGGCGCGUAAAGCCCUGUCAGCAGGGAAGAAAAUGACGGUACCUGAAGAAGAAGCCCCGGCUAACUACGUGCCAGCAGCCGCGGUAAUACGUAGGGGGCAAGCGUUAUCCGGAUUUACUGGGUGUAAAGGGGGCGCAGACGGCGAUGCAAGCGAGGAGUGAAAGCCCGGGGCCCAACGCCGGGACUGCUCUUGGAACUGGGUGGCUGGAGUGCAGGAGGGGCAGGCGGAAGUGCUGGUGUAGCGGGGAAAUGCGGAGAUAGCAGGAGGA